GUGCAAUGCUUUGCAAUUAGCACCAUGCAUUGCAAUUAGCACCGUGCAUUUUAAUGAGCACCGUGCAAUGAGUGCAAUGCUUUGCAAUUAGCACGGUGCAUUCCAAUGAGGACCAUGCAAUGCAAUUAGCAGCGUGCACUGCAAUUAGCACCGUGCAAUGCAUGCAAUGCCUUGCCGUUAGCACCGUGCAUGUUAAUGAGCGCCGUGCACUGAGUGCAACGCUUUGCAAUUAGCGGCGUGCACAUUAAUGAGCGCCGUGCAAUGAGUGCAACGCUCUGCCACCUCCGCCGCGCGCAGCCCCGCGCCGUUCACUCAUUAGCACCGCGCCGUUAAUUAGCGCCGCGCCGUUCCGGGGAGCCCGUGCAGCGCUCCGCAAUUCAUCAGCGCUCCGCAAUUCAUCAGCGCUCCGCAAUUAAUUAAUCAAUGGGCGCCGCCCGCCCUCAAUGCUCCCCCGCCCCAGCUCACCUGCCCGCCGCCGGAACCGGAAGCGAGUGGGCGGGGCUCCGGCCGGAAGCGGAAGCGGAGCCAGAGAGGAGCGGAAGUGACGAGGGGGGAGGAGCGGAAGGGGGCUGCUCGCGCGCUGGCAACGCCUCACGUGACCACGGACAACUUCCGGUCCAGCCUCCACCCACUUCCUGCCCUCGCUCCGUUACCAGUCUACUUCCGGUCCCUUACUGCGUCACUUCCGGCGCGACGCCUCCUCCCGUCAUGGCGGAUCCUCCGGCGCUCUCCGCUCCUCCGGGGACGGCGGAGAACGGCGCCGCGGGGCGGACCCCCACCCCACCCCGGGGAGAAGCGGGACCCGGGCCUCCCCCGCCG
rnacentral:lncRNA from 1 species